rnacentral:rRNA from 1 species
AACGAACGCUGGCGGCAUGCCUAACACAUGCAAGUCGAACGAGACCUUCGGGUCUAGUGGCGCACGGGUGCGUAACGCGUGGGAAUCUGCCCUUAGGUUCGGAAUAACUCAGAGAAAUUUGAGCUAAUACCGGAUGAUGACGUAAGUCCAAAGAUUUAUCGCCUAAGGAUGGGCCCGCGUAGGAUUAGCUAGUUGGUGUGGUAAAAGCGAACCAAGGCGACGAUCCUUAGCUGGUCUGAGAGGAUGAUCAGCCACACUGGGACUGAGACACGGCCCAGACUCCUACGGGAGGCAGCAGUGGGGAAUAUUGGACAAUGGGCGAAAGCCUGAUCCAGCAAUGCCGCGUGAGUGAUGAAGGCCUUAGGGUUGUAAAGCUCUUUUACCCGGGAUGAUAAUGACAGUACCGGGGGAAUAAGCUCCGGCUAACUCCGUGCCAGCAGCCGCCGCGGUAA